rnacentral:rRNA from 1 species
AGCAGCCGCGGUAAUUCCAGCUCCAAUAGCGUAUAUUAAAGUUGUUGCAGUUAAAAAGCUCGUAGUUGAAUUUCGGGGUUCUACCGUUGGUCGGGCAAUAGUCUGUACUGGCGUGUAGAAUUUCUACCUUCUGGGGAACUAUCAUGUUAUUUAUUUAGCGUGGUGGGAAACCAGGACCUUUACCUUGAAAAAAUUAGAGUGUUCAAAGCAGGCUUACGUCUGAAUACAUUAGCAUGGAAUAAUAAAAUAGGACGGUGGUCCUGUUUUGUUGGUUUCUGAAUCACCGUAAUGAUUAAUAGGGAUAGUUGGGGGCAUUAGUAUUCAAUUGUCAGAGGUGAAAUUCUUGGAUUUAUUGAAGACUAACUUCUGCGAAAGCAUUUGCCAAGGAUGUCUUCAUUAAUCAAGAACGAAAGUUAGGGGAUCGAAGACGAUCAGAUACCGUCGUAGUCUUAACCAUAAACUAUGCCGACUAGGGAUCGGACGAUGUUAAAUUUUUCUUGACU